rnacentral:rRNA from 1 species
GAUGAACGCUGGCGGUAUGCUUAACACAUGCAAGUCGAACGGACUCUUCGGAGUUAGUGGCGGACGGGUGAGUAACGCGUGAGAAUCUGGCUUUGGGUUCGGGACAACCACUGGAAACGGUGGCUAAUACCGGAUGUGCCGAGAGGUAAAAGAGAAAUUGCCUGAAGAUGAGCUCGCGUCUGAUUAGCUAGUUGGUGAGGUAAAGGCUCACCAAGGCAGCGAUCAGUAGCUGGUCUGAGAGGAUGACCAGCCACACUGGGACUGAGACACGGCCCAGACUCCUUCGGGAGGCAGCAGUGGGGAAUUUUCCGCAAUGGGCGAAAGCCUGACGGAGCAAUACCGCGUGAGGGAAGAAGGCUCUUGGGUUGUAAACCUCUUUUCUUAGGGAAGAACAAAAUGACGGUACCUGAGGAAUCAGCAUCGGCUAACUCCGUG